AAGUUAACCAUAUAUACCCCUGGACUUAGUGCUACAUGCAGGAUGAUCCGAUGUACCAUGGAACAAAACGAGCCAGUUGAAUCAUUUCAGAAGAUCUUCAAACCUGCUUGGAAGAUCUUGCGUAUGUGUCAUAUUCUCCUGGUGCCUGAGGAAUGAACCCUUCACACUGGAAGUCUUUUGUCUGUGUGAUGCUCAGAUGUGAAUUUGUGUCAACUAUCCUUCAAAGCCUGUUCCAAGUAGAUCUGUAACAGCUACCAGAAUGGCUUGAGAUGUCUGGAAGAUCUUUCAUCCUUCAAGCUUCCUCUCCUGAAGAUCUCUAGAACUUCAACUUCACUGCCAAAGCAAAUGUAUCUCCACUCAUCAGACGCUGAUCCUCU